rnacentral:rRNA from 1 species
GAUGAACGCUGGCGGCGUGCUUAACACAUGCAAGUCGAACGGUGAAGCUCCAGCUUGCUGGAGUGGAUCAGUGGCGAACGGGUGAGUAACACGUGAGCAACCUGCCCCUGACUCUGGGAUAACAGCCGGAAACGGCUGCUAAUACCGGAUAUGCACCAUGAACGCAUGUUCUGUGGUGGGAAAGAUUUUGCGGUUGGGGAUGGGCUCGCGGCCUAUCAGCUUGUUGGUGAGGUAAUGGCUCACCAAGGCGUCGACGGGUAGCCGGCCUGAGAGGGUGACCGGCCACACUGGGACUGAGACACGGCCCAGACUCCUACGGGAGGCAGCAGUGGGGAAUAUUGCACAAUGGGCGAAAGCCUGAUGCAGCAACGCCGCGUGAGGGAUGACGGCCUUCGGGUUGUAAACCUCUUUUAGCAGGGAAGAAGCGAGAGUGACGGUACCUGCAGAAAAAGCGCCGGCUAACUACGUG